rnacentral:SRP_RNA from 1 species
GUCAGGUGCACAUGCCUGUAGUCCCAGCUACUCGGGAGGCUGAGGCUGGAGGAUCGCUUGAGCCCAGGAGUUCUGGGCUGUAGUGUGCUAUGCUGAUCGGGUGUCCACACUAAGUUCAGCAUCAAUAUGGUGACCUUCCAGGAGUGGGGAGCCACCAGGUUGCCUAAGGAGGGGUGAACUGGCCCAGGUCGGAAAUGGAGCAGGUCAAAACUCCCGUGCUGAUCAGUAGUGGGAUCAUGCCUGUGAAUAGCCACUGCACUCCAGCCUGGGCAACAUAUCGAGACCCCAUCUCU